GAUGCCUACGGGGCGCAGCAGUGAGGAAUAUUGGUCAAUGGUCGGGGGACUGAACCAGCCAAGCCGCGUGAGGGAGGAAGGUACAGAGUAUCGUAAACCUCUUUUGUCAGGGAACAAAGGCGGGGACGUGUCCCCGGAUGAGUGUACCUGAAGAAAAAGCAUCGGCUAACUCCGUGCCAGCAGCCGCGGUAAUACGGAGGAUGCGAGCGUUAUCCGGAUUUAUUGGGUUUAAAGGGUGCGCAGGCGGUCUGUUAAGUCAGCGGUCAAAGCCCGGGGCUCAAACCCGGUCCGCCGGUGUA
rnacentral:rRNA from 1 species